rnacentral:rRNA from 1 species
GACGAACGCUGGCGGCGCGCCUAACACAUGCAAGUCGAACGAGCGAGAGAGAGCUUGCUUUCUUGAGCGAGUGGCGAACGGGUGAGUAACGCGUGAGGAACCUGCCUCAAAGAGGGGGACAACAGUUGGAAACGACUGCUAAUACCGCAUAAGCCCACGGUGCCGCAUGGCACAGAGGGAAAAGGAGCAAUCCGCUUUGAGAUGGCCUCGCGUCCGAUUAGCUAGUUGGUGAGGUAACGGCCCACCAAGGCGACGAUCGGUAGCCGGACUGAGUGGUUGAACGGCCACAUUGGGACUGAGACACGGCCCAGACUCCUACGGGAGGCAGCAGUGGGGAAUAUUGCACAAUGGGGGAAACCCUGAUGCAGCGACGCCGCGUGGAGGAAGAAGGUCUUCGGAUUGUAAACUCCUGUUGUUGGGGAAGAUAAUGACGGUACCCAACAAGGAAGUGACGGCUAACUACGUG